rnacentral:rRNA from 1 species
GACGUAGGGUGCGAGCGUUGUCCGGAUUUAUUGGGCGUAAAGAGCUCGUAGGCGGCUCGUCGCGUCGACCGUGAAAACCCGGGGCUCAACCCCGGGCCUGCAGUCGAUACGGGCGGACUAGAGUUCGGCAGGGGAGACUGGAAUUCCUGGUGUAGCGGUGAAAUGCGCAGAUAUCGGGAAGAACACCCGUGGCGAAGGCGGCUCUCUGGGACGGUACUGACGCUGAGACGCGAAAGCGUGGGGAGCGAACAGG